rnacentral:rRNA from 1 species
GAUUAUGGCUCAGGAUGAACGCUAGCUACAGGCUUAACACAUGCAAGUCGAGGGGCAGCAUUGGAGUAGCAAUACUCAGAUGGCGACCGGCGCACGGGUGAGUAACACGUAUCCAACCUGCCGCUUACUCGGGGAUAGCCUUUCGAAAGAAAGAUUAAUACCCGAUGGUAUAAAGAGUUCGCAUGUUCUCUUUAUUAAAGAAUUUCGGUAAGCGAUGGGGAUGCGUUCCAUUAGAUAGUUGGCGGGGUAACGGCCCACCAAGUCUACGAUGGAUAGGGGUUCUGAGAGGAAGGUCCCCCACAUUGGAACUGAGACACGGUCCAAACUCCUACGGGAGGCAGCAGUGAGGAAUAUUGGUCAAUGGACGAGAGUCUGAACCAGCCAAGUAGCGUGAAGGAUGAACCUGCCCUAUGGGUUGUAAACUUCUUUUAUAAGGGAAUAAAGUGCAUCACGUGUGAUGUUUUGUAUGUACUCUGCGAAUAAGGAUCGGCUAACUCCGUGCCAGCAGCGGC